UGGAAAAUUACUGUGAAAAUAAAACUAUAAAUAUUUUAAAUAACAAAUUGAAAAUUGUGUUACGAUUAACAUUUCUAUAUAGUGCAUAUGAUCAAGUAUUUUUAAAUACUUUUUAAAUAAAUAUUAAAAUACGCUUACCUAUAAAUAAGUUGCUUACUUAGCCUAGAAUAUUUUAUCUUUACAACAAUUGUGAUAUUACCACCCUGUUCAACCUGUGAGAAGAACCCGAAGAAAACCCGCGACUUUCGGCAGAGCUUUGACCGACUCAGUUUUCACAUGAGUCCGUAGCGAGAAUCCAACUCAACCCACGGACUCGGAGGUGAAAGACGCGUGCUCUGAUGACUGCGUCACCAAAACCCCAUAUUUUUUUUAAAUUAGAAACUAUAAUGAACAGUUAUGUUGCUAUUAAAUAGGGAAAUGCGCAUGUAAAUACAAACGGUUAAACUGCACCUCGUGCAUGUGUACAUUUGGUGUACAAUACAAUUUAUAUAAAAGGUCUGGUUUAUAUGGACACAAUGGUUUUCAACGGGAGAACCCUUUUACUUCUUCCCAAGCUACAAUAUGUUUUUGCAUUUAUGGGUUUAGUGUGAUGAUCUACAAAUGUUUACAGUACUAUGUUAAAGGUAUAUGUGAGUAUAUUGAUACAAUUUCACAGCUUCAUUGCCAGUUUCAGAUAAGGAUGUCAUCAAACGAAUGAGGUACUAUAAUUUUGGACUUCGGAUGCAAAAUUUGAAUAUUCGUCGAAUGAUCUCAACACACUUGUAACUGCAUCAUAACACAGCUUGAAUUGAGCC
rnacentral:lncRNA from 1 species